GACGAACGCUGGCGGCGUGCUUAACACAUGCAAGUCGAACGCUGAAGCUUGGUGCUUGCACUGGGUGGAUGAGUGGCGAACGGGUGAGUAAUACGUGAGUAACCUGCCCUUGACUCUGGGAUAAGCCUGGGAAACUGGGUCUAAUACUGGAUACGACAUGCCACUGCAUGGUGGUGUGUGGAAAGGGUUUUACUGGUUUUGGAUGGGCUCACGGCCUAUCAGCUUGUUGGUGGGGUAAUGGCCUACCAAGGCGACGACGGGUAGCCGGCCUGAGAGGGUGACCGGCACCACGGGGAUUGAGCCACGGCCCAGACUCCGAGGGGGGGAAGCGGGGGGGAAUAUGGCACAGGGGGCGGAAGCCGGAUGCAGCGACGCCGCGGGGGGGAUGGCGGCCUUCGGUUUGAAACCCUCUUCCAGCAGGGAAGAAGGGGGGGUGAGGGUAGGUGAAGAAGAGGCGCCGGCUAACUACGGC
rnacentral:rRNA from 1 species